UCUUGUCCUCUACAUCAGGAAUACUUAUAUAGGCAUUUUUAUAUGACCGCAAAAAAAUUUUUGUGGUCGUAUAUUGGUAUGACGUCGUCGUCGUCGUCCGGCGUCCUCCGGCGUCGUCCGAAGACACAUUGGUUUUCGCACUCUAACUUUAGUUUAAGUGAAUGGAUCUCUAUGAAAUUUUACCACAAGGUUCAAUACCACAAAAGGAAGGUUGGGAUUGAUUUUGGGGGUUUUGGUACCAACAGUUAAGGAAUUAAGGGCCAAAAAGGGGCCAAAAAUAAGCAUUUUUGUAACUUCCAGACAUAACUUGUGUGUUAGUGUAUGGAUCUCUCUGACAUUGUACCACAAGGUUCCAUAUCACAAAUGGAAUGCUGGGAUUGAUUUUGGGGGUAAUUGUUGCAAAAUUUUAGGAAUUAGGGGCCAAAAAAGGGGCAAAAAACAAGCAUUUUUCUAGUUUCAUGAUAAUAACUUGUGUGUAAGUAUAUGGAUUUUUCUGAAAUUGAACUACAAGGUUCCAUAUCACAAAGGGAAAGCUGGAAUUGAGUUUGGGGGUAAUUGCCCAAAACGUUUAGGAAUAAGGGGCCAAAAAGGGGCCAAAAAUAAGCAUUUUUCUAGUUUCCAGACAAUAACUUGUGUUCAAGUGUAUGGAUCUCUCUGAAAUUGUACUGCAAGGUACCAUCCCACAAAGGGAAUGCUGGGAUUGAUUUUGGGGGUAAUUGCCUCAAAAUUUUAGGAAUUAGGGGCCAAAAAGGGGCAAAAAACAAGCAUUUUUCUAGUUUCAGGACAAUAACUUGUGUGUAAGUGUAUGGAUCUUUAUGAAAUUGUACUACAAGGUUCCAUAUCACAAAAGGAAAGCUGGGUUUGAGUUUGGGGGUAAUUACCCUUAACGUUUAGGAAUUUGGGGCCAAAAAGGGGCCUAAAAACAAGCAUUUUUCUAGUUUCCAGACAAUAACUUGUGUUCAAGUGUAUGGAUCUCUCUGAAAUUGUACUGCAAGGUACCAUAUCACAAAAGGAAAGCUGGGUUUGAGUUUGGGGGUAAUUGCUAUAAACGUUUAGGAAUUUGGGGCCAAAAAGGGGCCUAAAAACAAGCAUUUUUCAAGUUUCAGGACAAUAACUUGUGUGUAAGUGUAUGGAUCUUUCUGAAAUUGUACUACAAGGUUCCAUAUCACAAAAGGAAAGCUGGGUUUGAGUUUGGGGGUAAUUGCUAUAAACGUUUAGGAAUUUGGGGCCAAAAAGGGGCCUAAAAACAAGCAUUUUUCUAGUUUCCAGACAAUAACUUGUGUUCAAGUUGUAUGGAUCUCUCUGAAAUUGUACUGCAAGGUACCAUACCACAAAGGGAAGGCUGGGAUUGAGUUUGGGGGUGAUGAAUCAUAAGGGGGUUCAAAAAAUUUAGUGGAGGGAUUUUUUUUUUCUUUAAAAUUUUCCAUUUUAAAUUGGUUAUUU